rnacentral:lncRNA from 1 species
GUAUUUCCGCGGGCGCUGAGCACUAGAGAGAGCGUCUUGUGGCUGCGGCCUGCCCCUCAGCCUCCUCCGCGCGGUUACCCCUGUACCCGCCGCCAUCCGUCCUGGCGCUCCGGAUGAGUCAAUGAGGGGCAGGGCCCGAGGAGUGGUCUUCCCAAGAACCCCUGGUGGCCUCCCAAGGCCGGUGCUGUGUACCUCCUCCCCGACAAAAGGGGAAACUGAGGCCCCGAGGGGAGUGGGAAGAGCCGGCUGGACGUCAGGCCCAGCCGCUGGUGCAGUGGUCCGUCCCCUCUGCCGGGGUGGGCCCCUCGGGUUUCGCGUGUCCUCGGGAAAGAGACUGGCGGGUGAGCCGCGCCCUCGGCCUUCGCUGGGCUAAGCCGACCCCAUGCAGACGUCAAACCCCCCUAGGUCGGCACAGCCUCUCUGCGGGGAGGCUUAGUGCCCCCUUGAGAAACGGCUUGGCAACGCUGUGCCCGGGGCCUUGCACGCGGGCUGAGGGGGCUAGAGACCUCGCGACUUUUACUCCCCCGACCCCGAUCUCCGACUCCUGACUUUGGAAGCCCCCAAAGCUGCUUUUCGGUUGCCUACAAAGUGUCGGUCAUUGUGCCACGUCCUUGGAACCGUGAACUCAUUUUCUCCUCAAUAACCUUUAAAAAGUAGCUGUAAAACCUCCAUUUUACAGACCAGUUGGCUGAGGUUUAAAUGGAGGACGCUCCCAGGGCCCCAGAGGGGCGAAUUCCAGACUCCUUUGCCAGGACCUUGUACUAAGCCCCUUCCCUACGCUUUUCCCUGCCUAGGCCUCGUGGGCUGUGCGGCUAUCCUGGAGACAGAUGACAGCUCUCCCUUGGAUGGCUUUGCUGGUUCCGCACCAGCCAGCGCCCCCAUUUUUCCUGCAGCACCCUGAUCUGCACUCCCUGAGGGGCUCCCACUGUCCGCGGUGUGAGGAUGUCCCUGGUCCACUGUGUGCAGAGGCAUGGGAGUUGUCAUGUUGGGAACAUGCUAGACCUCAGUAUCCUUGAGGGAUGCUGCCUUGGGUCUGGAAACUGUUAGAGGAAACCCCAAGAGGUGCAGGCACUGAGCCUCUCAGGACAAUGACCUGGGGUCCCAGCUCCCCUGGAGGGGCCUCCUCAUGAUUGUUUGGGGGUUGAUCACAGACCAAGAGUGACGAGUGAUGUCACCCUGUGACUCAUGGCUGGACCUUCUUGCCCCUAUUGUCUCAGCACAACAUUAUUCGACUUUUCCCUCAGCGUGGGUGGGCAGAGGAAAAGCCCUGUGGCUCUGGGGACUUGGGAUCCAGAGUUGAAGACCCUUCAGCUGGCUCUGCCCUGCCAGUGCCACAGAGUGCCAUGGCCCAGGAAGACAGGUUUUCUUCCAUCUAGGCCAGGCCAUCCAGUGGCCAUCCUCCGUGUCCUCCCGCCUCCUCCUGGUGUGACUUCUGAAAACCAAGAAUUUGUUCCUGUUGACUUUUUCUGUGCUAUGGACCAUUGUCCUCUCACCCACUCAAUAAAUCUUGAAACA